AAUUAACCGCAUCUACUUCAUUUUCUUCUUCUAUACCGUAAUUUUUCUGAGCUUCUACAUAAUCCAUAUCGUGAGCACCUACACCUAUUUCUUCCUCAAAAGGUGUACCAAGCGGUACCGGAGGCGAAGGCAUACGGGUAUAUCUACUACUUGAACUACCUCUACCGCUAGUAAUUCACUUUUUACUACCACUACCGCUUCCGGGACAAAAAAUUUUAACACCUUUAGUAGCGAGGUUUCUUAAUUUAUCCAUAAUAUAAAUUAAAUUAAACUAAAAAUAUUCAAAAUACACAAAUAUAAUAUAAUUAAAUAUUAAACAAUUAAUACAAUAAAUAAAAAUUAAACGUAAGAGAUGGAACGACAAUACCGAAUUUUGGAAGUAUCCGAAGGUUGCGACUUUAGAAAC
rnacentral:lncRNA from 1 species